AUUGAACGCUGGCGGCAGGCCUAACACAUGCACGUCGAACGAGUGGCGGACGGGUGAGUAAUGUCUGGGAAACUGCCUGAUGGAGGGGGAUAACUACUGGAAACGGUAGCUAAUACCGCAUACCAUCGGAUGUGCCCAGAUGGGAUUAGCUAGUAGGUGGGGUAAAGGCUAACCUAGGCGAAGAUCCCUAGCUGGUCUGAGAGGAUGACCAGCCACACUGGACCUGAGACAGGGUCCAGACUCCGACGGGAGGCAGCAGUGGGGAAUAUUGCACAAGGGUCGAAAGCCUGAGUCAGCCAUGCCGCGGGUAUUAAGAAGGCCUUCGGGGUGUAAAGUACUUGCAGCGGGGAGGCGUUACCCGCAGAAGAAGCACCGACUAACUCCGUGCCAGCCGCCGCGAUAAUAC
rnacentral:rRNA from 1 species